GUGAGGAAUAUUGGACAAUGGAGGAAACUCUGAUCCAGCCAUGCCGCGUGAGUGAUGAAGGCCUUCGGGUUGUAAAGCUCUUUCGGGUGUGAAAAUGAUGAUGGUAACACCAGAAGAAGCCCCGGCUAACUCCGUGCCAGCAGCCGCGGUAAUACGGAGGGGGCGAGCGUUGUUCGGAAUCACUGGGCGUAAAGCGUGCGUAGGCGGUUAUACAAGUCAGGAGUGAAAUCCCAGGGCUCAACCUUGGAAUUGCUUUUGAGACUGUAUGACUAGAGAUCUAGAGAGGUUGGGGGAAUUCCGAGUGUAGAGGUGAAAUUCGCAGAUAUUCGGAGGAACACCAGUGGCGUAGGCGCCCAACUGGCUAGAUACUGACGCUGAGGCACGAAAGCGUGGGGAGCAAACAGGAUUAGAUACCCUUGUAGUCC
rnacentral:rRNA from 1 species